rnacentral:rRNA from 1 species
CAUUCGAGUGGCGGACGGGUGAGUAACGCGUGGGUAACCUGCCUUACACAGGGGGAUAACACCUGGAAACAGGUGCUAAUACCGCAUAAGCGCACAGGGCCGCAUGGCCCGGUGUGAAAAACUCCGGCGGUGUAAGAUGGACCCGCGUCUGAUUAGCUUGUUGGCGGGGUAGGGGCCCACCAAGGCGACGAUCAGUAGCCGGCCUGAGAGGGUGGACGGCCACAUUGGGACUGAGACACGGCCCAAACUCCUACGGGAGGCAGCAG